rnacentral:rRNA from 1 species
AGAACGAACGCUGGCGGCAGGCCUCAAACAUGCAAGUCUAGGGGGUGUAGCAAUACAUCACCGGCGGACGGGUGCGUAACACGUGGGAAUAUACCUUUCGGUACGGAACAACUGCGGGAAACUGCAGCUAAUACCGUAUACGUCCUUGCGGAGAAAGAUUUAUCGCCGAAGGAUUAGCCCGCGUUCGAUUAGCUAGUUGGUGAGGUAAUGGCUCACCAAGGCAACGAUCGAUAGCUGUUCUGAGAGGAAGAUCAGCCACACUGGGACUGAGACACGGCCCAGACUCCUACGGGAGGCAGCAGUUGGGAAUCUUGGACAAUGGGGGAAACCCUGAUCCAGCCAUGCCGCGUGAGUGAUGAAGGCCUUCGGGUUGUAAAGCUCUUUACCCGGGUAAGAUAAUGACUGUACCGGGAGAAUAAGCUCCGGCUAACUCGCGCCAGCAGCCGC